rnacentral:rRNA from 1 species
GACAGAGGGGGCAAGCGUUGCUCGGAAUUACUGGGCGUAAAGCGCACGUAGGCGGCUUUGUAAGUUAGAGGUGAAAGCCCGGAGCUCAACUCCGGAAUUGCCUUUAAGACUGCAUCGCUUGAAUCAUGGAGAGGUGAGUGGAAUUCCGAGUGUAGAGGUGAAAUUCGUAGAUAUUCGGAAGAACACCAGUGGCGAAGGCGACUCACUUGGACAGUGUAUUGACGCUGAGGUGCGAAAGCGUGGGGAGCAAACAGG